rnacentral:tRNA from 1 species
GGACCCGUAGCUUAAUUGGAUAGAGCACCUGACUACGGAUCAGGAGGUUGGGGAUUCGAGUUCCUCCGGGUUCACGA